rnacentral:rRNA from 1 species
UACAGAGGGUGCGAGCGUUAAUCGGAAUUACUGGGCGUAAAGCGCGCGUAGGCGGCUUUGCAAGUCGGGUGUGAAAUCCCCAGGCUCAACCUGGGAACUGCAUUCGAGACUGCAUGGCUAGAGUAUGGGAGAGGGAAGUGGAAUUUCAGGUGUAGCGGUGAAAUGCGUAGAUAUCUGAAGGAACAUCAGUGGCGAAAGCGACUUCCUGGACCAAUACUGACGCUCAUGUGCGAAAGCGUGGGGAGCAAACAGG